GUAAAUCCCCAGGAUGCCUCUGGACAGUCCUACCAGGCAGCAGGGCAGCCAACCUGUGCCAGCCUGCAGUGUGAAGCCCUAAAGCUUUGGCAUCUCUUGCCGGGCACAGAGCCAGGCGCCUGGCAGGGCCCCAAGAACUACUUUCAGCAAAAUCUCCAGUCCACUCGGCAGUGGUGGGAAGCGGGAGGCCAGAGUGAGCCGGGAGAGAUCCAGGGGCUCCUGCACAGAGGCCCCAGCUUCCAGGAAGAAGAACGCACUGCCAGCACUUCCUGUUUCUCUAGUCACAUCCUUCUUGCUUCACCAACAUCCCUGAGGGUUCUGGGUGGAGACCCCACCCCCCACCCCCCACCCGGGCUUCGUAGACUUCCCUAGAGAUGGCCCCACAGAACGAUGGAGAGCAUCAUCCCAGGCCCUUAAGGGACAAGGCAGCAGGACGGUGUGUGGGUUAGGACUUCCUGAGAGCUGUUCAAACAGACCAGAACAUCAGAGGUACUUACAAUAGGGCCUGGAGGACCUGGAGAGCCGCGCAUGCCAGGUGGACCCUGCAGAAGAAACCAAAGGAACAAGAUGGAGAGUCUGAGGCCCCACGGUAACCUGUGUUACAGUACCUGCCUCCAUCCAGCUCCCGGAGGCUGCAGAUGGGAGAAGACGGCUGAUGUCAAGGCAGAACCAUUUAGCUGAUGUUAAAAUGGCCUUUCAUUCAGUUCAUUCAGUCAUCCAACAAACAUUUAUUGAGCAGCUAUUAUGUGCCGGGCACAGGCCCAGGGGCUGGGAACAUAGCCAUAAACAAAACAUUAAAAU